GAUGAACGCUGGCGGCGUGCUUAACACAUGCAAGUCGAACGAAGCAUUUAAGACAGAUUACUUCGGUUUGAAGUCUUUUAUGACUGAGUGGCGGACGGGUGAGUAACGCGUGGGUAACCUGCCUCAUACAGGGGGAUAGCAGCUGGAAACGGCUGGUAAUACCGCAUAAGCGCACAGUACCACAUGGUACAGUGUGAAAAACUCCGGUGGUAUGAGAUGGACCCGCGUCUGAUUAGCUAGUUGGCGGGGUAACGGCCCACCAAGGCGACGAUCAGUAGCCGACCUGAGAGGGUGACCGGCCACAUUGGGACUGAGACACGGCCCAGACUCCUACGGGAGGCAGCAGUGGGGAAUAUUGCACAAUGGAGGAAACUCUGAUGCAGCGACGCCGCGUGAGUGAAGAAGUAGUUCGCAAUGUAAAGCUCUAUCAGCAGGGAAGAUAGUGACGGUACCUGACUAAGAAGCUCCGGCUAAAUACGUG
rnacentral:rRNA from 1 species